rnacentral:rRNA from 1 species
UACGGGAGGCAGCAGGGGGGAAUAUUGCACAAUGGGCGCAAGCCUGAUGCAGCCAUGCCGCGUGUAUGAAGAAGGCCUUCGGGUUGUAAAGUACUUUCAGUCGUGAGGAAGGUGUUAAGGUUAAUAACCUUAGCAAUUGACGUUAGCGACAGAAGAAGCACCGGCUAACUCCGUGCCAGCAGCCGCGGUAAUACGGAGGGUGCGAGCGUUAAUCGGAAUUACUGGGCUAAAGGGCACGCAGGCGGUUAAUAAGUUGGAUGUGAAAUCCCCGGGCUUAACCUGGGAAUGGCAUUCAAGACUGGUUAGCUAGAGUCUUGUAGAGGGGGUUAGAAUUCCAUGUGUAGCGGUGAAAUGCGCAGAGAUGUGGAGGAAUACCGGUGGCGAAGGCGGCCCCUGGACAAAGGCUGACGCUCAUGUGCGAAAGCGUGGGGAGCAAACGAGGGAUUAGAUACC